rnacentral:lncRNA from 1 species
AGCUAACGAGAAUUUGGAUGCAGAUAUUAGAUGCAAUCAAAUCAACUGUAAAUUACUAAGAGGGUAACCAUCUCUACUGCACAACUGCGGAUACACAGGUCCAGAGAUGAGUGAAAUCCCUGCAAUAGUUUUGCAGGAGGGGAGGUACCAAUGUUCCAAUACAAACAAACAAUAAGAAAGUUGUAUACUCUCCGGAGUUGCUAAUUGUUUGUAAACUGGUGGUAAUGUUAUUGGACUGAGCAUGCUCACUUACAUUCUGCAUGUUUGAUAUGACAAGUGCAAAUGCCAUUCUCAUCAAUGAAGUCCACUCUUUGUUUCAGUUUUUAACUUUGUACAUGGUUGACUGUUAAUUAAUUAUUAACAACAUAUCAUCAAUAGCACCCAACAGUGUAAAUUACAAAAUUAUGGGAUUGCCUCUUAAGAGUUUCCAAUGCGAAUUGCCUGCUACCAAUGUAUAGUCUUAAAAACCUGAGUCCAGAUUAAAGGGGAAGUUCGGAUGGAAAUAAUUAAACAUCAUUUACAGUAAAUUUUUUUUAUCUGCAGCAUAGCAAAAAGAUAAAAGUGCUUCUUAUUUCCAAAAACGAGAAAAGAUAAAAAAAAUAUAUAUAUAUACUUUUGUAAAGCAAAUCUUUAAUCUCCGCAUUAAUAAAUUAAAAUGUUAUGGCCUCAGAGAUCUUGGUGGAUGUGAAUAAUCAUCAGUGAAGAAUUAGUUUGAAAAACAAAUCCCCCAAUCAAGAGUAGCAAAUAUUUGUUAUUACAUCACCGGCCAAAUCAAUCCCAAAUAAAGAAAAAAAAAAGAAAUUUUUUUUUAAAAAAAUAAAUCAUGCCAUGGAGUGGAGUCAGAAGUAGCUGGUUGUUAAUAUCAUAUUUUGAUUAAAACAAAAUCAUUGGGAAUCCGUCUGAUUUAUUUCAUCAUCCAUCCACCUCCAUGCCGAUACCAAACCGAGCUUAUUAAAAUUAAAAAUAAAAAAAAAAUUGAGAAGGGAGAUGCCAAAAAAGCUACGAAUAAUGAAUUGGACUGUAUCUACCUUGUCACCGCAAAAUGUUUCUAAAUAAGAGAAAAACGGAGCUGAAGGUAGAGUAUACAUACACGAGUUUUGAGUAUGUAUACGGUUCUUCGCUUUGGCCUAACGAUAGAUUCCUUGAUUCAUUUUACUCUGUAUCAAAGAAUUGCAAUAUUAGGCCGGCCACCCAUUUUCUUUUAUUUAUAAAUCCAUUUAAACUUGAGAAAAAAGAGAAUGAAAUUUUAGAUGAAAACUUUGAUGGGCAAGCAGCGGAUUCUUGGAAUGAAUUCGAUUCAUUCGAUUUGAUGAGGAGGAAAGGGAGAGGUAACUUGAUAUAUU